rnacentral:rRNA from 1 species
GAUUAACGCUGGCGGCGUGCCUAACACAUGCAAGUCGAACGAGGUAGCAAUACCUAGUGGCAGACGGGUGAGUAACGCGUGGUCAACCUACCGUUGAGUGGGGGAUAACUAGCCGAAAGGUUAGCUAAUACCGCAUACGAGUCUCGGGGGCAUCCCUGGGCCUUAAAAGGAGCAAUCCGCUCGAUGACGGGACCGCGUCCCAUUAGCUAGAUGGUGGGGUAAUGGCCUACCAUGGCUCCGAUGGGUAGCUGGUUUGAGAGAGCGACCAGCCACACUGGGACUGAGAAACGGCCCAGACUCCUACGGGAGGCAGCAGUGAGGAAUUUUCCGCAAUGGGCGAAAGCCUGACGGAGCGACGCCGCGUGUGGGAAGAAGGCCUUCGGGUCGUAAACCACUGUCGAAGGGGACGAUAAUGACGGCACCCUUGGAGGAAGCCCCGGCUAACUACGUGCCAGCAGCCGCGGUAAGACGUAGGGGGCGAGCGUUAUUCGGAAUUAUUGGGCGUAAAGCGCUCGUAGGCGGGAUCGAUAGUCCGUGAAGAAAGACCUGGGCUCAACUCAGGGAACGGCACGGAUACUUCGA